rnacentral:rRNA from 1 species
UACAGAGGUCUCAAGCGUUUGUUCGGAUUCAUUGGGCGUAAAGGGUGCGUAGGCGGCGCGGUAAGUCGGGUGUGAAAUCUCGGGGCUUAACUCCGAAACUGCAUUCGAUACUGCCGUGCUUGAGGACUGGAGAGGAGACUGGAAUUUACGGUGUAGCGGUGAAAUGCGUAGAUAUCGAUAAGGAAGACCAGUGGCGAAGGCAGGUCUCUGGACAGUUCCUGACGCUGAGGCACGAAGGUCAGGGGAGCAAACGGG